CAGUGAAAACCGAUGCCCUCAGCAGGUAGAGUAGUUAUAAAGAUUAGCAAUCUUCCAUGCUAGAUUUAUUGCCUCUAAUUUUACCUAGUUGUUGUUACUCCAUAUGUCUGCUUGUAGGAACAUGAGGUCCAAUGCCCAAUAUGCGCCGGUGUCUUUCCUGUCUCAGAAAUAGAGGCACAUGCAAGCGGUUGUGGACAGAGAGCUUGUGAUGAAACAGAGGCCAUCAACUUAAUGGAACAGCUUGAUGGGACAGAUCAAACAGAGAUAUGCCCCAAACGAUACGAAUCAAGAGACUAAAAGGAAUAGAGAAGUGAUUCUUUGAGGGAGGUGAAAAUGGCAAAAACCCCAAGUAUUCAAUGACUGACAUGGAGAAACACAACUUCAAGACUGUUGCAGAGAUAUUUGCUGUCAGUAUCACACAGGGUGGACAACCACCAAACUUUUUUAUGCAGCGGUGUUACAACUACAUAUCCACUGGUGGAAAUGGAUCAGGAAGCAAUAACAGAAAGGGACAUUACAGACCCUGAACUCAUGGAACUAAUUAAACAGGUGUCUUCAUGGUGUAGGUGACUAAUGUGUGUAAUUUGUGUGUCAAAGACUGAGGCAGUUAACAACACAACCCUGACUGAUAGGAUUUUGUCAUGUCCAGCAAGAAACAGAUAUCUGCAGACAGCUGUUUGUUCCA